AAGGCGGAACCGAAAAGCCAAAUGAGUAGGAU
rnacentral:ncRNA from 1 species